GGCCGGCCGGUAUUCUCGAACCUUCAUGUGCUUUCCCCUCUCCCCCACCCCAACCGCCUACCGCUCCGCAACGCUCGCCCCCCGCCCGCAACGGGCGGGGGGGGUGGAGCUUCGCGUGCGCGGGAGCCAAUGAGAGCCCUCCAGCGGCCGCAUGCGGGUGACGACACCGGCGUUUGCGCCAGUAAAUCUCUCUCGGAGCACGAUAAGGUAUGCCAGCAGCGUGUUGCUGCUCUAAUCCUCCCUGUUCUGUUCAACAAGGCAAAAGGCAGUGUUCUCCGAUUUCUCCCCACACCCUCAUUCUCACCCAGGCAGAGGAAACCAUGUUGUCUGCGCUGUUUUAAGGUGACAUCGGUUUCUCCACAGAGCAGAAUCCGGCCUCCACAGCAUCUCCAGCCCUACUUUUUAUUCCAUCCUAAGAUUUUUCUCGUCCAUAAUCGGUGCUAAGGCACCAAGUGACACUCCUUGGUAUGUCAGCGCUGCUCACUGCAUGCUCUCAGCACGACUGACUUCAGUGGAAAGGAAACGGAGGCUCUGAACGGUGGAAAACCAUGGCUGUUCAGUGUCCUUGGGGAUCAAGCGAGCAGAUGGACGACUGCAAACAUUCAGCUGGUCUCAGCGCCUUAGGCUGAAAGCUGAUCAGAGGUCAUAAAUCACGUAAGAUUUCAGUAAAGAAGAUGGCUGAUGAUGGGAGACCUCUGCGCAAAACACCCCCAGGGAAAGAAGGCUGAAGCACUGCAAGAGAAAUCAACCACAGUUAUGUUUAGUUACACUAAAUUCCGCCUACAUCUCCCUGACCGGAGAUUCCUGUUAGCUAGUUAAAAAUGUUUAUCUGCAGAGAAGAUCUAAACUGUCUGAACACAGCUCUUCAAGGUUUCAUUGUCAUCUCACGCCCAGUUCUAGAGAUGAACUGAAACUCAGCGGCUGGUUCGGAAGUAAGGUCGCAGAUGCGGGAGUGCAGUGUCACUGGAGUUUUGUAUCUGUGCCGUGUCUAUGCUGGCACUAUUUACCAUACUAGCUUGAAGCAUCUACAUCCUCAGCCAAAAUAUCUCAGGUGAAAUAGCUGCAUGGAAGUCAAAAUGCCAUUUACUUCAGU